rnacentral:rRNA from 1 species
UACGGAGGGGGCUAGCGUUGUUCGGAAUUACUGGGCGUAAAGCGCGCGUAGGCGGCUUUGUAAGUUAGAGGUGAAAGCCCGGGGCUCAACUCCGGAAUUGCCUUUAAGACUGCAUCGCUAGAAUCGUGGAGAGGUAAGUGGAAUUCCGAGUGUAGAGGUGAAAUUCGUAGAUAUUCGCAAGAACACCAGUGGCGAAGGCGGCUCACUGGCCCGAUACUGACGCUGAGGCACGAAAGCGUGGGGAGCAAACAGGA